UACGGAGGGUGCAAGCGUUAUCCGGAUUCACUGGGCUUAAAGGGUGCGUAGGCGGACAUGUAAGUCCGUGGUGAAAUCUCCGAGCUUAACUCGGAAACUGCCAUGGAUACUAUAUGUCUUGAAUGUUGUGGAGGUUAGCGGAAUAUGUCAUGUAGCGGUGAAAUGCAUAGAUAUGACAUAGAACACCAAUUGCGAAGGCAGCUGGCUACACAAAUAUUGACGCUGAGGCACGAAAGCGUGGGGAUCAAACAGG
rnacentral:rRNA from 1 species